rnacentral:rRNA from 1 species
AUACGGAGGAUCCGAGCGUUAUCCGGAUUUAUUGGGUUUAAAGGGUGCGCAGGCGGCCAUUUAAGUCAGCGGUUAAAUCGUGGGGCUCAACCCCAUUCUGCCGUUGAUACUGGGUGGCUUGAUUGCGGUCGAGGUUGGCGUAAUUCGUUGUGUAGCGGUGAAAUGCAUAGAUAUGACGAAGAACACCGAUUGCGUAGGCAGCUGACCAGACCGCAAAUGACGCUCAUGCACGAAAGUGCGGGGAUCGAACAGGAUUAGAUACCCUGGUAGUCCGCACAGUAAACGAUGAAUACUUGUUUUCGGCGAUAUAAUGUCGGAGGCAAAGCGAAAGCGAUAAGUAUUCCACCUGGGGAGUACGCCGGCAACGGUGAAACUUAAAGGAAUUGGCGGGG